GACGGAAAAAGCCAAACCAGUUGUGAGGCUGGGACGGAAAGCCUAAGGGUCUUUAAGUCAGUAUUAAGGGAUGUAGAUAUACAAGGAAGCACUAAAAGAUAGCCGGGUCACCCUU
rnacentral:ncRNA from 1 species